rnacentral:rRNA from 1 species
UGAGGAAUAUUGGGCAAUGCCCGCAAGGGUGACCCAGCAACGCCGCGUGGAGGAUGAAUGUCGUAAGAUUGUAAACUCCUGUUAGAGGGGAAGAAUAGUACCGGUUGGACCGGUAUAUGACUGUACCCUCAGAGAAAGCCCCGGCUAACUACGUGCCAGCAGCCGCGGUAAUACGUAGGGGGCAAGCGUUGUCCGGAUUUACUGGGUGUAAAGGGCGCGCAGGCGGGAUAAAAAGUCAGUGGUGAAAUCCUACAGCUUAACUGUAGAACUGCCUUUGAUACCUUUAUUCUUGAGUUCGGGAGAGAGAGACGGAAUUCCAGGUGUAGUGGUGAAAUACGUAGAUAUCUGGAAGAACACCAGUUGCGAAGGCGGUCUCUUGGUCCGACACUGACGCUGAGGCGCGAAAGCGUGGGGAGCAAACA